rnacentral:rRNA from 1 species
AGAGUUUGAUCAUGGCUCAGAACGAACGCUGGCGGCGUGCUUAACACAUGCAAGUCGCGUGCGCAGUUGCCGUAGCAAUACGGUGAUGGGCGCACGGCGCACGGGUGCGUAACACGUGGGCAAUCUGCCCUUUGAUGGGGAAUAACCCGCCGAAAGGCGGGCUAAUUCCGCAUAAGAUUCCCUGAACUUCGGUUUGGGGAUUGAAAGCAGCAAUGCGUCGAAGGAGGAGCCCGCGCCCGAUUAGCUAGUUGGUGAGGUAAUGGCUCACCAAGGCAAUGAUCGGUAGCUGGUCUGAGAGGAUGAUCAGCCACACUGGAACUGAGACACGGUCCAGACUCCUACGGGAGGCAGCAGUGGGGAAUCUUGCACAAUGGGCGAAAGCCUGAUGCAGCGACGCCGCGUGGGGGAUGAAGCAUUUCGGUGUGUAAACCCCUUUCGACUGGGAAGAAUGCCUCGCAAGAGGAGUGACGGUACCAGUAGAAGAAGCCCCGGCUAACUACGUGCCAGCAGCCGCGGUAAGACGUAGGGGGCCAGCGUUGUUCGGAAUUACUGGGUGUAAAGGGUUCGUAGGCGGUGCGGCAAGUUGGGAGUGAAAUCUCUGGGCUUAACCCAGAGGCUGCUUCCAAAACUGCUGUGCUCGAGUGUGAGAGAGGCUCGUGGAAUUGCAGGUGUAGCGGUGAAAUGCGUAGAUAUCUGCAGGAACACCCGUGGCGAAAGCGGCGAGCUGGAUCACUACUGACGCUGAGGAACGAAAGCUAGGGGAGCAAACAGGAUUAGAUACCCUAGUAGUCC